rnacentral:rRNA from 1 species
UACGUAGGGCGCAAGCGUUGUCCGGAAUUAUUGGGCGUAAAGAGCUCGUAGGCGGUUUGUCGCGUCUGCUGUGAAAACCUAAGGCUCAACCUUGGGCUUGCAGUGGGUACGGGCAGACUAGAGUGCGGUAGGGUGACUGGAAUUCCUGGUGUAGCGGUGGAAUGCGCAGAUAUCAGGAGGAACACCGAUGGCGAAGGCAGGUCACUGGGCCGCAACUGACGCUGGAGGAAGCGAAAGCAUGGGGAGCGAACAGG